rnacentral:rRNA from 1 species
CCUACGGGAGGCAGCAGUGAGGAAUAUUGGUCAAUGGGCGCGAGCCUGAACCAGCCAAGUAGCGUGCGGGAUGAAGGCCCUACGGGUCGUAAACCGCUUUUGCACGGGGAUAACACCCUCCACUUGUGGACGUCUGCAGGUACCGUGCGAAUAAGGACCGGCUAAUUCCGUGCCAGCAGCCGCGGUAAUACGGAGGGCCCGAGCGUUAUCCGGAUUCAUUGGGCUUAACGGGAGCGUAGGCGGGCGGUAAAGUCAGCGGUAAAAUCGCGCGGCUAAACCGCGCACCGCAGUUGAAACUGGACGCCUUGAGAUCACAACAGGCAGGCGGAAUGCGUGGUGUAGCGGUGAAAUGCAUAGAUAUCA